UGGGGUGUGGUUCAGUGUAGAGCACUCGCCUAGCAUGUGAGAGGCCCUGGGUUCAAUCCUCAGCACCACAU
rnacentral:tRNA from 1 species